UACGAGGGGGGCGAGCGUUGUUCGGAAUUAUUGGGCGUAAAGAGCUCGUAGGCGGUUUGUCGCGUCUGCUGUGAAAUCCCGAGGCUCAACCUCGGGUCUGCAGUGGGUACGGGCAGACUAGAGUGCGGUAGGGGAGAUUGGAACUCCUGGUGUAGCGGUGAAAUGCGCAGAUAUCAGGAGGAACACCGAUGGCGAAGGCAGGUCUCUGGGCAUUAACUGACGCUGAGGAGCGAAAGCAUGGGGAGCGAACAGG
rnacentral:rRNA from 1 species